rnacentral:lncRNA from 1 species
UUAGGCCGUUGGUUAUCUCGUUUGAAUCGUUUGACAUUGUUAUUUCGGGGUCCUUUUAUAACUGACAAUGCGGUUAGGGCUUUGCUCAUGUUGAAGGCCGUACGGUUGUUAAUUUCUGUGUCAUGUUGGUCUUUUGAGUGGAGAGUUGUCCCAUUGUUAACCAUACCACAUCUUCUUAUUUAUAAUAAAUGCAUUGAACAAAAUGUCUAUAACCACUAGACUCCUAUCAUUUUCUGGAUUGCCCAAAAAUAGAUAUGUUAUUAUUCUAUUUUUUCAUGAUAUAUUCAUAUUUUGUCUUAGAUUAAAAAAAAACUGCAAAAGUCAUCACCCCCUAUCCUCUCGGCCCCAGUUGAAAAAUAUCAAUAUGUAGAUCAAUUUAACAAUCACAGUGUACAGUAUGCACCAAUUUACUCAAUGUUCUAAAUGAUAAUAUGAAUGGUACUACUUUUUACUGCAUAAAAUUUAUUUUACAACUAAAAGGUUUUAAAAAAAAUGGACGUUUAUGUAAAUUUUGAAAGUCAGCAGCCAAGUUUACACAUCAAUAAUUUCUACUCUUAUAAUUCUCAACUAUUUUUUUCUGCUCCACGUAUUUAGUAAAGAGCAUGCAUACGUCCUCUCAGUACCGGAGGGAGCAUUAAGUUGUUCCCUUGUCCGUCUGUAAAUACGUACAUACAUACAUUGUAGGUCCGUCCGUCUGAACAUUCCAAAAUUGGUUUCCGAUCUCUAACUUCAGUUUGCCUCAACCAAAUGUUAAGAAACUUAUACACAAUGCUUAAUAUAUCACCACAAAACACAGGUCAAUUAAGUUCGAUUUUGCUGGUGUCACUUGAUACUAGAGUUAUGCUCCUUAACAAAAGGAAAAACUGCUGAAUUUUUCGUUUC